AGAGUUUGAUCCUGGCUCAGGAUAAACGCUGGCGGCGUGCCUAACACAUGCAAGUCGAACGCCCUGAUGCAAAUCAGGGAGUGGCGGACGGGUGAGUAACACGUGGGUUAUCUGCCUUUCGGUGAGGAAUACCGGCGAGAAAUCGCCGACAAAACCGCAUGAGUUUGUGGAAACACAAAGAAAGUCGUAAGACGCCGAAA
rnacentral:rRNA from 1 species